CCGUCACUCCCUUCCCCUUCUCCUCCUUCUUUCUCUUCUUCUUCCUUCCUCCCUCACUCCCGCACCCUUUCCCUUUCCCACACCAGCAGUGGCGGCACACCACCACCAGCCACAUUUCCUUGCCGUAGCUGCCAGCAGCCGCCAAUAGGUGGCGUUUGCCUCCUCACAGAAGCAGCCACGGCUGCGUUCUUCCCCACCAACAGCAGCUGAGCUGCACAAUCAAUCGUGUAGUUUUUCUUUUCUUGUGCCGCCAGCAACUGGCUGCUGGGCAGCCGGUUUUGGCCCUGCGCCACCGCCUCCGCGACCUCCUCUCAUUUCUUCAUCCUCUUGCUAGUUUUAUUUUGUGCCCAUUUCGUAAGAGGAAAGUAGAGCCUUAGUUGGGCGAUUUUGUGACUUUUGAUCGUGCAGUAACGCUUACAGCAGGGGGAUCAUAGACAAGCGUAGCAGGUACUGGAGCUUCUUUUGCAUUGCAUUGCAUUUGGGGAGAGUGAGGAGGGCGAAGCAUACCCUGUGUCAUACCGCUAUCUUUCAAUUUUGUAGCUCUUGUUAUCUUUUGUAAACUUUGGUGGUAUAUGUUUUGUUACGAGGCCUUGUUUCCUCCCUCGUAUAUUUGUAUUUCCGCUGCGUGGUUUAUAAUUCUGUAUGGUUUUUAGGAGUUAAGUCUUUUUAAAACGCAAACGUCGACAAUGGAACCACGAUCCAUGCUUGGCAUGUUGAUUUGAGAAGCCGGCGACGAAUUAUUCCGCCGUGACAUAGCUUUGAUAGGCCGUUGGUGCCUUUACUUUAUUAGUUUCUGAAUUAGCUUUUGUUUUUCUACAAAGACGCACAGUUUUAAGGUAGAUGCUGUCAAAAUUUCCACUCCUUUUUAAAAUUAAUAAUUAAAGUUUAUCUAAAUUCUUUUUCCUUUUCUUUUAUGUAACACUCGAAUUUCCUCCCGUCCUUUACGGUUUUGGUUUCGUUAAGGGGUCGGAAAUUCUGGGGUGUUACAUUAUUAUUAUAAUAAUAAUAAUAACAAU